UUAGAAUUAAUUAGGAGUUGUUAGAAAAAGAAAAAAAAAGUGAACAAAAAUAAAAGAAUUGAAAAGAUAAAAUAAAAAGAGAAAAAUAUGAAAAUCAGUGGCUGCCAUAACUUUAUGAGUGAGAAAUACACACUUUUCAUGCAUAAACACCCUUAGACAGUCUCAACCAUGUUAAAGUUUUCCGGGUUGCAAACUCCACUUCUUUAGCUGCUAUGUGAUGACUAUCACCUUCUUCAGUUUCAAGUUUAGCUAAGUCAAUGGGUCCUUUAAUCGAGCCUCAUCUUGUUCCUUUUACUCAGAUCGAUGGAUUGAACUUCAAUCGAGGUACAAUCUGCUUCAAAUGGGAAGGAAUUAACACCAACUACUGUACUUGCCGCUGUGGGGAUAUUUGUACCCGUCUUACGCCAGGCUCACAUCAGGUGUGUCUUAUCUCCUUGGCUGAUGUGAAAAGACCCGGAUAUCCAGUCUUUAGUGGAUAAUUUGCUUGCCUCUCCACCUUUCCCAUGCUCUUUAUUUGUAAUUUUUUCUAUUGAUACUGAUGUAAUAAGAUUCUUUUUUGCAUUACUACUCUCUUUUUCUUCUUCUUCAUUUUUUAAAGCUCCAAAGGAGUUGUCACUGCAUAUGUCCUUUUCAGGUGAUGUUGCUUUUUCACUUAGAUUUCCUUUGUUGAUGAACCUUCUCCGAGUGGGAUACUAUUGCUUCUUGUGGUGACCAUGUCUA